CCUUUGUGGUCUUGGCUUUUUCCAACUAAGUAACAAGUGGGUGUUUAUUUUGCCCACAGCUACGUGCACCCUCACCCCCUUUUUGCCAGCCCUAUCAUUUCUGCGAAUGGCAGACACUGCCUCUUCUUACACUAGCCGUGAUCUAUCCCUGCUCUGCUCUGCUUACUCAAGAGUUAUAUGUACACAUUUGUACGGAUACACAUGCCCAUGUGUGUGUAUGCAUGUGUGCAUGGAAGUCAAAGGUUGAUGGCACAGGUGUGGGCAUCAUGAUUCUGAGGUGGUCUUCUGCUGAUCUUGAAAUGCACCAGUUUGGUGAGGCUGUCUGGCCAAUGUGCUCCAAGGACCUACAGGGCUUCCUUCUCUUCCAUGCUCUGGUGGAAGAGCAUGUGGCAGACUUUGUUCACAUUAAGGCAGAAGCAGAGAGGAACAGGAACCAAGGGGCCUCAUUCCAUAUCCUUGGCUGUCAAGAACUUACUGUGUAGACCAGGCUGGACUCACAGCCUCUGCCUCUGUCUCCUGAGUGCUGGGUUUAAAGGCAUAUGCCACCACUGCCCGGAAAACUCCAUAUCCUCUUAAGACAGUGUCAUCAGCUGGAGACCAUGCAUUAAAGUAUGAGCCUUCAGGGGACAUUUCAGGUUCAAAUCAUGACUGAUGGACAAAGACCGGGAGGGCAGGCCUCCAUAUCUCCUCUAUAGAGUAGCACCUGAGCCUUCUAUGUAGCAGACUGGUUAUCUUCCUAGUGACACAGGAAAGGCUACACUGCCUGCCAAGUGCCUCCCCUGAGCAUUCUGAUUCAGUUAGUCUGGGGAUAGUAUCUUGACCUGUGGAUACUUCUAAAGUUCCCUGUGUUACAGGGAGCUCACCAGAGAUGAACACUCAGACACAGUGUUUAGCCAAUAGAAGGCCUUUAUUCCAACCAGCUGGGACCACACCCAAGUGUCCCAGGACCUGAGUUUAGCCUCGAAUGUUCAAGCCCUGCUUUUUGUUUUGUUUUGUUUUGUUUUUAAAGCAGAAAUUGUGUCCUGAUAUCUCACUCAGUUGGCAGCUGCAGGGGGGCUUAGCAGAAAUAAGCAGUUUAAAGGAGCUAAGUUAGCUAGGACAUCCUGACCUUUAGUUCCUAGAAUAGAGUUGGGUAAUUUUCCAUGGGAUUCUCCAUCAAGGAGAUAAGGGCCUAGUAAAAUCUGAAAUGACCUCAGCAAGAAAACAAGAUGGAGGGGCUGGAGAGGUGGCUCAGCGGUUAAGAGCACUGACUGCUCUUCCAGAGGUUCUGAGUUCAAUUCCCA
rnacentral:lncRNA from 1 species